rnacentral:rRNA from 1 species
UACAGAGGGUGCGAGCGUUGUCCGGAAUCACUGGGCGUAAAGGGCGCGUAGGCGGCUGGGUAAGCGUGUGGUGAAAGUCCGGGGCUCAACCCCGGAUCGGCCAUGCGAACUGUCCAGCUGGAGCACGGUAGAGGCAGAUGGAAUUCCGGGUGUAGCGGUGGAAUGCGUAGAGAUCCGGAAGAACACCAGUGGCGAAGGCGGUCUGCUGGGCCGUGGACCGCAAGGUCCUUAUAGCUGACACUGAGGCGCGACAGCGUGAGGAGCAACAGG